CACAGAACGAGAGUCGGAUGAAAUUCACAUCUGUGACUUGCGAAAUAGCCUCCUCAUUAGUUGGAAUGGAAUAACAAGGCUGUUACAUGCAAUCUAUUCGCGGAAAUCCAGGUAGAAAUCAACAGCGACUGUCAGAGCAGAAGAAUCUGUGAACACCGGUCACCACCAUGGCUGAAGGUACAGACAGGGGAGGAGAUCCAGUGACAACAACAAGAAGGGACGACAAGGAGCCAAAGUCCACACUCUCUGAGCUCCUGACACAGUGGGACGAUUACCAACUGUUCCAGCUGGGAAAAUUCUACCAGCAUAGACUGGCAGAGGCGAUUGAAGAACGGGUUGAAGGACUCAGCCAACUGUUG